rnacentral:lncRNA from 1 species
AAAUUCCAUGCUUUGUGAGGUAAAUAAAUGGGUAGCAGUCCACAUUUACUUGCUACCAUUCUGUCUGGUGUACUGGUAAUAUCUGGACUGGUUUAAUGGCUUGUUUCAUGGGAGAAGCGCUAAACUUUACCUCAACAUUUAUGUAAAGUUAAAGCUGCACAGCUUCCAAUUUUUGUCUUUUGAGAUGGUUGCUCUUGGAACACAGAAAUAUGCUUUAAGAUGUCAAGCCUCCUCUGCUGAUGCUGUAUGGAGAACAGACAAGCUUUCCCAUCAAGCCCUAACCAAACUGCAGAACUGUGAAUAAAAUCAAUAAUUGUUAUGAAAAGGCACUAAGCUUUGCAGAGGUUAUUUAUGUGGCAAUGGAGCAUAAGACAGAUACCAUAAUAUUGGCUUUG